rnacentral:rRNA from 1 species
UACGGAGGGUGCAAGCGUUGUUCGGAAUUACUGGGCGUAAAGCGCACGUAGGCGGGUUUGCAAGUCGAUUGUGAAAGCCCCGGGCUCAAUCCGGGAAUGGCAGUCGAAACUGCGAGUCUUGAAUACCUGAGAGGGUGACGGAAUUCCUGGUGUAGAAGUGAAAUUCGUAGAUAUCAGGAGGAACACCGGAGGCGAAGGCGGUUGCCUGGCAGUGUAUUGACGCUGAGGUGCGAAAGCGUGGGGAGCAAACAGG